AAUAAGGUGUCUGAAAUUUAGGUCAUAAAUUGUAAAUUUAUGUAUGGGUUGUUAAUCCUCUUGUUA
rnacentral:tRNA from 1 species